GAUGAACGCUGGCAGCGUGCCUAAUACAUGCGAGUCGAGCGAACAGACGAGGAGCUUGCUCCUCUGACGUUAGCGGCGGACGGGUGAGUAACACGUGGAUAACCUACCUAUAAGACUGGGAUAACUUCGGGAAACCGGAGCUAAUACCGGAUAAUAUAUUGAACCGCAUGGUUCAAUAGUGAAAGACGGUUUUGCUUUCACUUAUAGAUGGAUCCGCGCCGCAUUAGCUAGUAGGUAAGGUAACGGCUUACCAAGGCAACGAUGCGUAGCCGACCUGAGAGGGUGAUCGGCCACACUGGAACUGAGACACGGUCCAGACUCCUACGGGAGGCAGCAGUAGGGAAUCUUCCGCAAUGGGCGAAAGCUUGACGGAGCAACGCCGCGUGAGUGAUGAAGGUCUUCGGAUCGUAAAACUCUGUUAUUAGGGAAGAACAAAUGUGUAAGUAACUAUGCACGUCUUGACGGUACCUAAUCAGAAAGCCACGGCUAACUACGUG
rnacentral:rRNA from 1 species